rnacentral:rRNA from 1 species
UUGAAAGGGAAACGAUUGAAGUCAGUCGUACCGCGGGAAAUCAACCUUUCGACUUUUGGUUUUGGAGUUUUUUGAAGAGUGUCAAAACCUUUGAGAUUUCAAAAUAUUCGCUCUUUUGGUGUACUUUCUCGUGGGUAGGUUAACAUCGAUUUUGAUCAUCAUAAAAAGAUUGGAGGAAUGUAGCUUCGAUCUUGUAUUGAAGUGUUAUAGCCUUUGGUAAAUGUGAUGAUUAGGAUCGAGGAUUGCAACGAAUACCCUUUUGGGCUAUCCGCCUGAUCUCUGAUACGUGGCCUUGGUAUCGAAAGCGUGCUUAUGGUAUUGAGGUAUUACGGUCAAAAGGUUAGAACGGAUUAUAUUCGUUAAGGAUGUUGACGUA